UUAAAAUUCGUUUAUGUUUUGAAUUCCCCGCACUAGACAAACAUUACUGAAGAUGAAGUUUUGGAAACAAUAAGGAGUAUGUGAAAUUGGCAAAAUAAUGACUACAUAUGUCGAUGACACAUCUUGAACAGUAAAAUGAAGACUACAUAUAUUGUAGACACAUCUUGAGCGGUGUGGCUCACUAAUAGAAAAAUACCCUUUAAUGACACACGAACCAUGACACUCGAUGUUUUAUGAUACGUAAAAGUGUGUGCCCAAAAAAUAAUGUCAGUUCUCCUAAAAUUUGAAGGAUUUAGGAUGCAUAUUUUUGCGUGCCCUAAAAUUAGUGUUACAAAAAAAAACCACGGAGGGCACCUAUCAUAAAAACUGUGACGUGAAAUCAUGUCGUUUGAUUUUAAUGAAACGCGCACAUCGUCAUCUUUAGUAGCAUCGGGAAAAGGAAUUCCCAAAAAAUUAGAAAAGUUGAAAACCUGUGAUGGCGAUUUAGGGUUGGUUCCGUCUCCAUCUCUCGUUCACUUCCACCUCCACUUUCUCUUCCAUCUACAAUAUCUCUUCCAUCAUCCACCUCGCCGGCGAUGAAGGUUUCUCGUGAUUUUUUGUUGUAGUUACAAUCCCUAGGUCCGAUUUCAACCAAUAUCUCGUUCGAUUAACACAAUUCAUCAAACCUAAGAAUCGUAAAGGAAACCUAGCCCCAUAGCUUUCAGUUCACCUCCUCAAAGAUCCUUGGUUUAAAAAAGCAUGCCUUAAAAAAGAACAUCUGCAUUGUUGUGAUGCGUGAGGCGCUCUAAGGUGUUUCAGAAAACACAUCAUGUAAGUGAUGUGAUGCGAUUUCCAAGAUGCACCCUAAUGCAGUCCCUUUGCGUGAUGCGUGUGUAUCUUGCACCUGAUGCGUUCUUUGGGUUUUUUUUAAGCAAUUGUGAUAUAGAGAAAGAAGAUUUUUUAUUGGUAAUUUUCGGCACAAUUCAAAACAAAGGAGGCAGUCCUGUGUAAAUUCUUCGUAUCCACUCAUUGAAAAAGUUUCUUACUUGGUGGUGAUCAAAGAAGAAGAAGAAUUCAAGAAUCUUGAUAAUAGGGUUCAUUCAGGGACACCCAAAAGUUUUCCAUAUCUUUUGGCUUUAAUUCAAGAAGACAUGUUGGAGGAUCGAUCUUUUUUUGUUUCAAGAACCUUCAAAAACGACUGUAACACCACCUGGGGCUUUAUGAGUAAUUUCACAAUCAAAAACACCGAUUAAAAAUUUAGAUGCCGACAAAGAAUAUCCUACCAACGACAUCAAUUGUAGAGCGCGACUCUUCCCUUCUUGUACAACGACCUGUCAACUCAUCCAUGCUUCCUCUUCAUCGCUGCAACGAACCCAAAUCCCCUUGUCUGCCAAUGAUUUCCCCAUGGCGUUCUGUGUGCAUUGAUUAAGGUUUUCACAUUCAUCCCUUCUACUUUGAUAGGUCUGAUACAUUCCUCGAAAAAAGGAAGCAUGGGAGAGAGUAGUUAAGCCAACGACUUUUUUUUUUUCUGAAAAGAUAUGGCAAAUAAAGACAUUGCCAAAAGGCUGCAAUUAAUACUUCAAAUGUUGGGGUGGAAGAGUCCAUGGACUGGUUGCUCUCCCACAUGGAUGAUCUAGAUAUUGAUGCCCCAAUUCAGAAAGAGGCGGGAAACAAUGAUGUUGAUCCAUCAAAGAUUCUAUGUUGGUUUUGUAUGGAUUUGAAGAAGUAUCUAAGAAGUCUUUAAAGGCAUCGGUGGGUGGUGAUAUUGAGAAAGCAACAUAUUGGAUUUUUAAUCACCCUUCGGGCGUAUACAAACUAAACUACUUGUGUUUCUCAAGGAUUCAGUAAUACAGGUAACAACUGCUUUUGGGAAGGGACGCUAAUGCGUCAAUUUCAAACAUAUUAUAUCAUCAUAAUGUAAUUUCUUUUGAAAUAUUUAAUACAAUCAACAAUGUAACUUUUUAUAUUAUAUUUAUGAUGGUUGCGUUUGCUUUC